UCCAUUGUUCGUCAAAGACUGCACUAGAUAGGGUUUAGGGAAUUUGGGUUGACUUUGGUCAAAGUUGACCAAAAAGUCAACUGUUGACCAAAGUCAACAGUUGGUCAAAAAUGCCAAAUUUUGUAUUUUCUUGUAUGGACUCACAUGUAAUGGUUUACAAUGACAUGAAAUAGAUUGAAAUGGAUUAACAAAUGGUUUGAAAUUGGUUUCCA
rnacentral:lncRNA from 1 species